GAAUUGUUGUAUUGGAUAGGCCAGAAUUGGCUGUCUUUGCACUAAGGCUUAAUGGCUAAGUCUUAAACCCUAGUUUAUAAACCACAAUGGAUCGGAUCACACAAUGCACUAACGCAACUCCACCAGCCUUAUCACCCGGUGAGCAUACGGCGGCUUUAUGCAUGUUUGCAGCUGCCGGGCAAGAUGAGAGAAGGCGGAUGGUGUUUGGACAGGAGCGAGAAAACAAAGCAAGUUCCUUGUGAAUGCAGACAGUCAGGACAUAAACAGAUGCAUUCUUCCACUCCCCAUGUUGACUCUAACUCCCCUCUGGCCAGUCCUUCCUGCCAGGAAUCCGCCCCAGGCGACAACAAGCGUUUUCCGGAUCAAUGCGUCCUUGUUUCCCCACAGGAUGUCCUGCCACCUCCAUUGUUCUCAGCCCCCCCUACCGCCAGCAGAUGGAUGGGGGGGCUGCCUCCGUGGAUGCACGGGGCCAGUCUCCGGGCAGCCUAGAAUCCAGGAACGGGGUGGAGAUCAUGCAAAAGGAACCAGGAAGAAGGCAAAGAUGGUGCGAUUCCACAGGCUGUUGGGGCCCCGAGAAGCUUCCUGUCCACUGCUGUUUGCAUUUGGAUCGUGCCCACUUGCUUCUUUUCAUGCCCAUGGAGUCCUGGUGCUCGCCGAGUGCCAAAAUAAAACUGCAAUGAAACAAGCAGGGGAUGGAAACGCAACGCCUUGAAAACCGGCCAAACCACACCACCCCAUUGCAGCCUUGGAUUGAGGCCGGGAUGUGCAGCCAGGUGGGAGAGAAUUGCCAACCGCUCGUCUCAGAUGUAAACUCGCAGCCCCGAGAAGCUUGCUUGUCCUUUUUUAAGUGUUUCUGCCCAACACGCGCACACCUGCGGUCUUCAAGUGAUGACAAAGGGAAGGAAUCAGGAGGAGCCGCAAACCAGCUGUUUCGAAAGAAGGAAGAGAGGUCUAGCUAAGCCGGGGGAAGAAUUUCUGGCAACGCCCACUGGAAUGGUGACACCAGCUGCCUUGGGAAGUGGGCACUCUUCUCUGUUAGUCUGUAAGCUGGGGGAUGCUAGGUUUUAGGUUUCCUAUAUAGCUAGGGGUCAGACUGGAUGACCUUUGGGGACCUUUGCAUCGCUGGGUUUCCGCAGCAACAACCCAAAGGGCAGGAACGGCACCUGGAAGGGCAAGGAUCCUCACAUGUAGGGCACACAGCAGGCAGAGUUUGGGGUGUUCAGAGACGUCAAACCUCAACGCUACAGCUGCUUUGCAGGCUGAGCCAACACCAUUCUUUGUCCUUUGCAAGUGUGCGAGGAUGAGCCUGAAACAACCUGGCAGAAAUUAAACUCUUUGAAAUCUGCCUAAGAGAGGGAGCAUCACACCUCUGGUGGCAAUGAGGGCCACCCAUGACUGGCUUCCUUUCCAGCUGUCCUGCAAUUCUAUUAAACCCAAGUUCUGCAUUCUUACGGGGCCUUCAUUGUUUACUUAUGAUUCCCUGAAGUCAUGUGGAUACCCUUCGGGUUGCGAGUUUAAGAAUGGGGCACUCGCCUUCGUUAGUCUAUAAGCCAGGGGUUGCUAGGUGUUAAGUUACCCGUAUUGGGUGGGGGGCUGCCAGGCAUCAGGGUGGGGACCACCCGUUCCCAGCCUGAUGCUCCUGCUGGUCAGGCUGGAGCACGACCCAACACAACUGAGAGGGGUCAGCUUGGCCUGUAUCAUGGGGUCUCCCAGGUGGAACCUUCUGGGCUUGGACUGCAAUUUGCUCCCCCAUCUGGCCUUAGCUAGGUGGGAUUUGCUGCAACACCUAGAUUUCCCAGGCUCAUGCAAGCAAAGGAAAGCAUUUUUCUGAGGCACGUAGGAAAGAUGCUGUGAGAUCACUGACAGACCUCAUCACUUAGGUUAGUGUUUCUUAAGGUCCUAGGAGGUGGUCGUUAAG